UUCUGCAGCAUUUGAUCCCGACUACUGCCAGAGACAGAAGGCUGGAAUAGAUAGAGUGCUGAUCCAAUCAGAUAUCAACAACCCAAAAAGAGCCAUUGACAUCACUUCUCAGCAUAGGUCAGCACUACUCAAGCAAGUUUAUAACCAACUACUUUGACAGCCAGUUAGAAAGCUCUGAUGUGUUUGACAACUCAUCCAUCACUGACCAUAUGGUAUGAACUAGAAUACAGCAAUCAGCAGCAACAGCAGUGCCAGAUGGGGAAGGAGGGAGAACAACUGGCUCUAUAUGGACGGGGAAGCUGGAAUCUGAGAUAGGAAGAAAUUUUUCUCCAGAGCAUGGAGAAUUUCCUCCAGGGCUGCUCUGCAAAUGCUAGUGCAAGAUCAAUAAACUGCAGUCAACUGUGUUGUGCCUCCAAAUCUCCACCUCCCCCACCCACCACCACACACACACUUGGGUUGGGAAAAGGGCUGUGGAGCUCCAUAAUCAAGGAUCCACUGGCCCCAAA